UACGUAGGGUGCAAGCGUUGUCCGGAAUUAUUGGGCGUAAAGAGCUCGUAGGCGGUUCGUGGCGUCGGCUGUGAAAACCUGAGGCUCAACCUCAGGCCUGCAGUCGAUACGGGCGGACUUGAGUACUGCAGGGGAGACUGGAAUUCCUGGUGUAGCGGUGAAAUGCGCAGAUAUCAGGAGGAACACCGGUGGCGAAGGCGGGUCUCUGGGCAGUAACUGACGCUGAGGAGCGAAAGCGUGGGGAGCGAACAGG
rnacentral:rRNA from 1 species